AUGCCCAUGCAGUACUGGUCCAUCGAGGGGGCGAAGGAGGUGCUCGGCGACAAGGUGUGCGUCGAUCGCCUCGACAGCCGCACUCUGGAGCGCGGCCACACCAAGACCUUCGCGUGCUAGGUCUAGGUGUGGGACAUGGCGUUAAUCCCAACGACGCACACCUACUGGAAGCUGCCCCGUGGCGCGGGGCGUGUCGAGGAGAUGGACGGCUUCUCGCUGCCGGAUCGCCGGGUGGCCCUUCCUCCGGGCACGACGCGGUUCGACCUUCUCAUCCACGUCGAUCGCAUUGAGGACUGGUCGCCGCGGUCGCCGCGCUCCUCGCACUCGGCGCAGAGCGGGCUGCCCUCCUUAGGCUCCGACGAAGAUGACGCGCUCCCACGCACCUACCCAGGGACAUGGACCAUGCACGUCGAGGAUGGAUAG
rnacentral:rRNA from 1 species